ACAGGAUGACGAGUGGCUUCCACCCCCCAAAUUCUUAAGAGGUUCUGCAGAACUUCCACCGCCUAUUGCAAAUGAGUCUGAACGUCCACUGAUUAGACCUGACGGGGAGACACCAUCGCAUCCCUUCAAGGAGUUCAAGGGCCUGAGAUUCCAUGCAUUGUUAUACCUCCACCUCCAUCUUUUUCAACAUUAACCACUUCGUCUCCGAUCUUUUCUCCAGAAAUGCCCUCCACAGGUGAAUCAACUAAUGGUGCUGAAAAUAUGAAUAAUACAUUGCGUGCAGCAGAAGAUGGAAUGUUUGCUGGCUUGUUUGACGCAAACUGGAAAUUUCUCUCCGCCUGGUGACGAACUACCUCCUUUUUGAGAUGUCUCUUGCGGUGGUGAAGGAAGUGGCAUAAAAUUUUUGCGUCGAUUAAUUGGAAGCCAAUGCUUGUUACUAGGAUAUGCAUACUUAAUUAAGUGCAACAUGACACUUCUCUUUUUGGCCAUGCACAUGCUGAUGGUUGUGAUCUCUUGGAUCAGUGACUUACAUGAUUCAUAGGUGUGUGACAAUCCUAGUCAGAUGACACUUUGUGAAGUGUAGGGUACUUUUGUAAGCUCCUGGUUGUUGUCAUGUAAA